CUAUGGAGCUUUGAUACAUCAAGGUCGCUGUUACAGCCUCUCCCCACGUCUGUCCUGGGGUCUCAGCUGAAGCUGAACACUUACCAUGACCACAGGAACCUCUGCACUUAGACUCCCACCUCCCCUGGGCCCCCCUUGCACCUGGCUCCUGUCCGUCUUCUCCCGGGAAACCCUGACACUGGCAUUUUGACACAGCUAUUUCCCAAAUGUGGUGAUCCUCGUUAUCAGACUGCACAGCCUGACUAUUUUGGGAACAGGAUGGGUUCCCCUCCCUCAUGACUCAGUUUACCCAUCACCGUCUCUCUGAGGCCCCCUGAAGGCUGUGUAUACAGUACACAGGCUGUUGCAGGGGUGGACAUUUGGCCUGGUGGUUAAGAGGCUGCUUCUAAUCCUGUUCCCCCUCUCAGAGUGCCCACGUUCGAUCCCCGGAUCUGGCCCUUGGUUCCAGCUUCCUACCAGUAAAGACCCUGGGAAGCAACAGGUGAUGGCUCAAGUAAUCAGCUCUCAACCACCCCCAACUGAGACCUGGGUGGAGUUCUCAGCUCCUGGCUUUGGUUGUGGGCCUCAGGGGGCAGUAAAUCAACGCAUGGGAGCAGUCUCUUUCUCAAAUCCCAAAAACGUAUGAAAUCAAAGAAAUGAAACGCACCUCUGUUGAGCCACAGUCUCCGUCAGGAGACCAGUGUUAUGUUCUCAGCAUUCCCUCCCUGGUGAUGAAGCCAAGGGGAGGGACCAGGCUUUGUGCAUCUCAGCUCCCCUGGCACCAACAGGAACCUGGUCAUCGAAACAGACUCGCAUGGACAGGCCAUUGCUUGCCUUGUGCAAGUAAUCCGGGGCACUCUUCUGGCUGUUCUGCUGAUCCUGGGAGCUGGAUUAUUCCUUUGGAGGACCCGUGGGAGGAAGAAGAAGGAGACUGGAAGAGGUGCCUCCCCAUAGGGUGCCUGCCUGACUGUACACGAGGCCAGUCCCCCAUUGCCUCUGCUGUGUCACCGGUGUGUGUCUUUUUGAGAGCACGAGACCCAGUGUGGGGAUACUGUGGAGGCAUUGACCGCGCUGGAGGAGCUGAGUUCUGGAUCCUGAGUUGGAAGAUGAUGGAAGCAAUGUGGGUGGUUGGGAACUGGCAAAGGAGUGGCCUGAAACUUCCUUUGCAGACCUUGCAUAGGGCUCCCUUGGGGGUGUUGGGCAGUGUGUGUGUGUGUGUGUGCGUGUGUGUGUGCGAUUGUGGUAGUGUCUACUGCACAUUGUGUACCUGGGCUGGAGCUCUUUUCCUUUGGCAUGUGUGCUAAUGUCACGCUGCCUCCGCCUCAGCUCGUGGCUUCCUGGGCAGUGGGAAGAGAAGUCUGUGCUGUCUCUGGCCCUUUCCAGAUGCGUGUCUCCCAGAGAACAACCCUGGGAAGCAGUCAGGAGUUUUCUUAGGAAAACAGCCUCAGCUCACCCUGAUCUCCAAUUCUGGCAGCUGGUGGUGAGAACAGGUGUGCAGUGUCACCGCACACCCUCUGGUGGGUGCUGCUGUGUCCUCUGGCGGGUAAUGCUAGGGGAAGGUGUGACCUGAUCAUCUUGGCCUCUCCACUUAGCUGCAGUGCCUGAGCCUGCUGGCCCCAAGCCCUAAUGCAGCCUUUUUGUUGCUCACUCUAACACUGCCCGGUUUGGCUCUGCGACUUCCAGUGACUUUGCUUGACCCAGAGGUCUGAACUGAGGAUUCUCCCCCUCGUGAUAUCCCUCCCCUCAGUGCCUGAGGACCUGAUGUAGCCCGUUUGCAUCCUGCUGUAUGGAUGCUCCUUUUCUGCAUGGGGGUCCUCACUUGCUUGGAUCCUCUUCCUCCUGCCUUUGGCCCUGGGGUUCGCAUCACAGUUAAGCUGACUGAUGAGCUAGGCUCCUGAGUCUUGAUUCUUCCAGUUCGGCUGAGCUUCCUCAGAUCUGACUCCAGAAAUCAAAUGUCUGAACAGGGUCCCUGCUAAGGGCUAUGAUCCAAUGCUUGUGACCUGCUGAUGGUGGAUGAGUGAGUGAGGGCAGAAUAGGGCUCUGUCUCCGACUUCUUGUUCUCAGACUAAGCAUAAAUCUGAUGAUGUGAAAGAUACCAUAUCCUCACUGACAGGUGACCAGUCAUAGCUGGGCAUCAACACCUAUCAGCCCAAUGUAAGCUGUGACCACCCAUUGACAGUUCCCACUACACCUAAAGCAGAAAAAAAUAAGGAAAAUAAAAAAUAAGGAAAAAAUUUUUAAAAAAGAGAA
rnacentral:lncRNA from 1 species